GUGUUGUACCACAAGACUUUCCAGAAACCAGCAAUUGUCAGAACACUUGCCUUCCUCAACACAACUACGUGCAGCCGCCAAACACCUUCCAUCCUGGUUGGGGAUCCCACGAUCAAUAUGGGUAUAGUGCUGAUUACCCGCCUCAAAUGGCUGGGCAAGUAAGGGGGACUAUGGUAUACCCUCAGCAGAACUACAACAAUGGGGUAUCUGUUCAACAGUUUCAGUCAUCUGGAAGAGUAAGUGGAGUUGUUGCCACAAAUUUGUUUCCCUCAGGACAGACAGAAAUUCGCAUGUCUGUGGGUGGGAUUCGUAUGACCCCGGAGGGUGGUGACGUACUUUUGUCCCAAGACCGUUGUG